AGUGAACGCUGGCGGUAGGCCUAACACAUGCAAGUCGAACGGCAGCACAGUAAGAGCUUGCUCUUACGGGUGGCGAGUGGCGGACGGGUGAGGAAUACAUCGGAAUCUACUUUUUCGUGGGGGAUAACGUAGGGAAACUUACGCUAAUACCGCAUACGACCUACGGGUGAAAGCAGGGGAUCUUCGGACCUUGCGCGAUUGAAUGAGCCGAUGUCGGAUUAGCUAGUUGGCGGGGUAAAGGCCCACCAAGGCGACGAUCCGUAGCUGGUCUGAGAGGAUGAUCAGCCACACUGGAACUGAGACACGGUCCAGACUCCUACGGGAGGCAGCAGUGGGGAAUAUUGGACAAAGGGCGCAAGCCUGAUCCAGCCAUACCGCGUGGGUGAAGAAGGCCUUCGGGUUGUAAAGCCCUUUUGUCGGGAAAGAAAAGCAGCGUGUUAAUACCCCGCUGUUCUGACGGUACCCAGAGAAUAAGCACCGGCUAACUUCGUG
rnacentral:rRNA from 1 species